rnacentral:rRNA from 1 species
UACGUAGGGGGCAAGCGUUGUCCGGAAUCAUUGGGCGUAAAGCGCGUGUAGGCGGCUCGGUAAGUCUGCUGUGAAAGUCCAGGGCUCAACCCUGGGAUGCCGGUGGAUACUGUCGAGCUCGAGUCCGGAAGAGGCGAGUGGAAUUCCUGGUGGUAGCGGUGAAAUGCGCAGAUAUCAGGAGGAACACCAAGUGGCGAAGGCAGCUCGCUGGGACGUGACUGGACGCUGAGACGCGAAAGCGUGGGGAGCAAACAGG